AUCUCAUCCGCAUCCGGAGCAAUGUUUUUGUUGAUACAAUCAUUUCUAGCCUUCCAAAUUGGGAACAUCCCUACAUGUAUACUAGUUUGUAUUUUCGAUCAUUUCCCUUCCAAAUUAGUAAACAAAUUUGAAACCCAUUUGAUAACAGUAGCAAGAUGUUAGCGGGAGACACCAACUGAGAUUCCACCAGUUAAUUUUGAUAGACCACACCUUCCAUGUGAAUAUUGGCAUUGCAACAGAAGGUGCACUGGUGUUUCAAUCUCAGUUGCAGUGUUGCACAGAAAGCACAUCCCUCUUGACCACUUCCUUCUUGGGCAUUAAUGCCUCUUGUAGCAAGAACCGACCUGGAUGCAAUUCUAUUUUGAGUAGCUUGCGAAACAAAGAUUUCCUCCUUUCAUGGACAUAAAUUUUUACAACUUGAUCCCAGAAUCUUGUUUGAUGGAUGCAUGAAUUCCUCCCACUUUGCAUGAGAAUAUGUGAUUUGCACUCCAUGUCCAGUAUAAAGAUUCAUCCCUGCCAUUGUGAAUUGGUACCCCAUACAACAUCUUUAACGAUGUGCCUUAACAGAUAUCCUAAGCUAAGAUAAAAAGAUAUGAUAAGAUCCUAUGCCUGGGGUGUAAUUUACGCUUGAGGGUUUGGGGAAAUGCUUAUUGUUGAUAUAUUUGCUUCCUUUUUUAUGCUUUUUUUUUUUUUUGGAGUAUUACUUUUCUGCUUUUGGUGUUGAUCCUCCUUUUAGGAGUUGCUUUGUUUUACGUGUUUAUUUAUUGCCUUCAGGCUUCUUGUCCUCUAUUAUUGGCUCUGUGUUUUACCGCAGGUUCUUUUUUAGCGGUGCAUUGGUUUAAUGAUUUCUUUUACCACAUUAAUAACAUACAUCAUAUUUUGUCGGGUAAAUUAUUCACCUGAUUGCACAAAAUCAUUAGUCUGUUCUUGUAGCAGCACUACGACAUACACAAAACUAUGCAAAGAAAUAUCUUGGUGGGGCUUAGACUCAUUCCAGAUAUGAUAUCACUACAUCACUUUUUUAAUCUGAACUACUCAUUUUUUCUGCUUACCCUGUAAUGUUGGAUUCUGUGGUCCUAUCUUUUUCUGUUCUAGUAAAGAUGCUAAUUAUAUGUUCUUAAUAUUUUUCAGGAUGGGUAUUAACUGGUAAGUCAUGGAUGCAAGUGGUUCACUUCCCGAUUCUCAAAAGCAAACCAAGAAGUUUCGAAAGCAUAAAAAGUGUGAAAUUGACAGAGACAUCAUCAGUAACUUACCUGAGAAUGUUCUCACUCACAUACUCUCAUUCCUUCCUACAAAGUAUGUGGUCCGAACUAGUGUAUUAUCUACAAAAUGGAAAGACACGUAGAUUAAAGUUACAAAUCUUCAUUUAGAUGAUGAAUUGCUUUUGUCACGCAAAAAUAUGACUAGAAGGGCAUACUUCAUGAACUUUGUGGAUCGAGUACUUCUUCACCUCGAGAAUUCUAAGAUACAUAGCUUCUAUCUUUCCUGUGAUAAUUAUUCAGAUGCAUCUCAUGUCAGUGCUUGGAUUUCAGCUGUCAUAAAGCGUCAAGUUUAAAAGCUUGACAUUAAAUAUAGAAAAGAAGAGUUUGUGGUUCCCCGUUGUGUUUUUGGCAGUGAUUCCUUGAGAAAACUAAACUUGGUAGCAAAGUGUAUUAUCAAAGUUUCUGCAUCUUGUUUUUCAAGGUUGGAGAUCGUGGAUCUUUCUGGGGUUACAUUUCUGAAUACGUGCUUUCCAAACACUGAGGAAAUCACUUUGACUUUUCCCGUCCUCAAAGUCUUGACUUUAUGCUCUACCAAGUUGUUGAAUGUGAAGGUUGUCAAUCUAAAUGUUCCUGCUCUGCAUAGCUGUGACCUAGAUGCUUAUGAGUCUGGAUGGGUCCCUGAUGAUUCUCAUGAUUUGUUAAUCAAGAUUUGUGGACAAAUCUUAAGAAAUUCAAAUGCUCUAGUUCUCUCUCAGAAAAUUAUGUUCUAGAUUGUGCAUCAUCAGUUACUGAGGUUAAUAUCGGUAUAUCUAAAGUCGAUACAGAGUAUAAUUCUCAAGAGAAGACUACAGUUGGUUUGCGAGCAUGCGACCUUCUUAAAAUGUUCCUUGGUGUGGAAAAUCUCACAUUAUCUUGGCAUACCAUUGAGGUUCUUGCCCCUCUGGAAAAUUUACAAGCUCUUCUACCUUCAUAUAGUAAUCUGGUCCACUUGGAAUUUUCGGGGUUCAAAUUAGUUUUUGAUGCAACAGUUAUGGCCUUUCUUCACAGCUCUCCAGUUCUUGAAACUCUGAUCUUUGAGAUGGGCUGCUGCACUUUGCAGUUUAAAGGACGUGGUGCAAGAAAUGGUACCUCAAUGUUUUCUGUCUCACCUUAAGGUAAGGUAAAUUUGUGUGUUUCAAAGGGAAUACACGUGAACUUGAUCUAGCCAAGUUUUUAUUGGUUAAUGCAAUGGUCUUGGAGGUAAUGAUCAUUAAUGCUUCUUCGUCUCUGAAAUAUCAAGCUGAAACAAAAUUCGAGCCGGUCAAGAAACAGUUAUCUACAUUUCCAAAGGGUUCAAGUCACGCUACGAUACUGUUCUCUUGAAGGUCUUGCAUGCUUUCCAUUGGCUUAACCAAGUUGUAUGUCCAGAAAUCAGAACCUGUACUAUUCCUUUUGACUUGUGUUCUUACCUAUAGUUGCAAGUGUUUUGAUUGCAAAAUAAUUUUUUGCCUUCUUAAGUUUGUAUUGCUGCUUGCGGCUGAUAAGGCCUCCCAAUACGGGGAGCUCCUGUAUUAGACUAUUUUGUGCUCUUUUGGGGUAUUGUGGGCCUUUGGUUUUGUUGUUAAAUUUCAAUGGAUUCGUUUUGGAGAAUACAUCAUGGAUUGCUAGA